UUGACAACAAUCCAACUUCGAAUCGCAGCCCAAGAAAAGGAGCAGUUGUGCGAAAUCCAUUUGUUAGAUUCAUUUUCACGGAGGAGAGGCCUUGACAGUUAUUGUUCGAUGCAGAAGGCGAACAGGUAUCUACGGCAGUGCCAGCGCCCGUGCCAGAAGCUAUAAUACCCCGCCGUGUUGGCCCGGGGCCCACUCGGGGAGGCAUGUCAGGGGUACCUGGACGACAGAAAAUUGCAAAAGGAGAAAUCAUUCUGACAGCAAAACCCUUUAUCUACAUUUUGAAUGUAGUUAAUAGAGGUCUUUGUUGUGAUCAUUGCUUAAAGAGG